rnacentral:rRNA from 1 species
CCUACGGGAGGCAGCAGUGAGGAAUAUUGGUCAAUGGGCGCGAGCCUGAACCAGCCAAGUCGCGUGAGGGAGGACGGCCCUACGGGUUGUAAACCUCUUUUGCCGGGGAGCAACGGGCGCCACGUGUGGCGUCACUGAGAGUACCCGGAGAAAAAGCAUCGGCUAACUCCGUGCCAGCAGCCGCGGUAAGACGGAGGAUGCGAGCGUUAUCCGGAUUUAUUGGGUUUAAAGGGUGCGUAGGCGGAGCGGUAAGUCAGUGGUAAAAUUGAGGGGCUCAACCCCUUCCCGCCAUUGAAACUGGAGUUCUUGAGUGGGAGAGAGGUAUGCGGAAUGCGGGGUGUAGCGGUGAAAUGCAUAGAUAUCACGCAGAACCCCGAUUGCGAAGGCAGCAUGCCGGCUUCCGACUGACGCUGAAGCACGAAAGCGUGGGGAUCGAACAGGAUGAGAUACCCCUGUAGUC